rnacentral:rRNA from 1 species
UACGGAGGGGGCUAGCGUUGUUCGGAAUCACUGGGCGUAAAGCGCACGUAGGCGGGUCUUUAAGUCAGGGGUGAAAUCCUGGAGCUCAACUCCAGAACUGCCUUUGAUACUGAAGAUCUUGGAGUUCGGGAGAGGUGAGUGGAACUGCGAGUGUAGAGGUGAAAUUCGUAGAUAUUCGCAAGAACACCAGUGGCGAAGGCGGCUCACUGGCCCGAUACUGACGCUGAGGCACGAAAGCGUGGGGAGCAAACAGG